rnacentral:rRNA from 1 species
GAUGAACGCUGGCGGCGUGCCUAAUACAUGCAAGUAGAACGCUGAAGCUUGGUGCUUGCACCGAGCGGAUGAGUUGCGAACGGGUGAGUAACGCGUAGGUAACCUGCCUCUUAGCGGGGGAUAACUAUUGGAAACGAUAGCUAAUACCGCAUAAAAGUCGACAUAGCAUGAUGUUGACUUGAAAGGUGCAAUUGCAUCACUAAGAGAUGGACCUGCGUUGUAUUAGCUAGUUGGUGAGGUAACGGCUCACCAAGGCGACGAUACAUAGCCGACCUGAGAGGGUGAUCGGCCACACUGGGACUGAGACACGGCCCAGACUCCUACGGGAGGCAGCAGUAGGGAAUCUUCGGCAAUGGGGGCAACCCUGACCGAGCAACGCCGCGUGAGUGAAGAAGGUUUUCGGAUCGUAAAGCUCUGUUGUAAGAGAAGAACGAGUGUGAGAGUGGAAAGUUCACACUGUGACGGUAACUUACCAGAAAGGGACGGCUAACUACGUG